UACGUAGGGGGCAAGCGUUGUCCGGAUUUAUUGGGCGUAAAGAGCGUGUAGGCGGCCAGUUAGGUCCGUUGUGAAAACUCGAGGCUCAACCUCGAGACGCCGAUGGAAACCAACUGGCUAGAGUCCGGAAGAGGAGAGUGGAAUUCCCGGUGUAGCGGUGAAAUGCGUAGAUAUCGGAAGGAACAUCAGUGGCGAAAGCGACUUCCUGGACCAGUACCGACGUUCAGGCACGAAAGCGUGGGGAGCAAACAGG
rnacentral:rRNA from 1 species